CACGAACGCUGGCGGCAGGCUUAACACAUGCAAGUCGAGCGCCCCGCAAGGGGAGCGGCAGACGGGUGAGUAACGCGUGGGAAUCUACCCAUCUCUACGGAAUAACGCAUGGAAACGUGUGCUAAUACCGUAUACGUCCUUCGGGAGAAAGAUUUAUCGGAGAUGGAUGAGCCCGCGUUGGAUUAGCUAGUUGGUGGGGUAAAGGCCUACCAAGGCGACGAUCCAUAGCUGGUCUGAGAGGAUGAUCAGCCACACUGGGACUGAGACACGGCCCAGACUCCUACGGGAGGCAGCAGGGGGGAAUGUAGGACAAGGGGCGCAAGCCUGAUCCAGUCAUGCCGCGUGAGUGAUGAAGGCCCUAGGGUUGUAAAGCUCUUUCACCGGUGAAGAUAAUGACGGUAACCGGAGAAGAAGCCCCGGCUAACUUCGUGCCAGCCGCCGCCGUAAUAC
rnacentral:rRNA from 1 species